rnacentral:rRNA from 1 species
AUUGAAUGCUGGCGGCAUGCCUUACACAUGCAAGUCGAACGGCAGCAUAGGAGCUUGCUCCUGAUGGCGAGUGGCGAACGGGUGAGUAAUAUAUCGGAACGUGCCCUAGAGUGGGGGAUAACUAGUCGAAAGACUAGCUAAUACCGCAUACGAUCUACGGAUGAAAGUGGGGGAUCGCAAGACCUCAUGCUCCUGGAGCGGCCGAUAUCUGAUUAGCUAGUUGGUGGGGUAAAAGCUCACCAAGGCGACGAUCAGUAGCUGGUCUGAGAGGAGGACCAGCCACACUGGGACUGAGACACGGCCCAGACUCCUACGGGAGGCAGCAGUGGGGAAUUUUGGACAAUGGGGGCAACCCUGAUCCAGCAAUGCCGCGUGAGUGAAGAAGGCCUUCGGGUUGUAAAGCUCUUUUGUCAGGGAAGAAACGGUUCUGGAUAAUACCUGGGACUAAUGACGGUACCUGAAGAAUAAGCACCGGCUAACUACGUGCCAGCCGCCGCCGUAA